GGUGGUGUAGUAUAAUGGUCAGUACAACACGUUGUGGACUUGUGGACCUAUUACUGCUCCCGUGUAAAUCUGGGUUCGAUUCCCAGCACCGCCA